AAUUAAAGCUUUAUUUAUUUUAUUAAUAAAACUUAAUAUAUUAGUGAAGAAGCUAAUAUUAUUUUAUAGGACAAGAAGACCCUAAUGAUUUUUAUUUAAAUAAUUUAUUUAAAUAGUAUUAUAUUUUAGUAUAAUUAAUAGAAUUUUACUGGGGCGGUAAUAUUAUAAAUUAAUAUAUUAACUUAUAUAGUUAUUAAUGAUUUUAUCUAUAUAAUGAUCCUUUAUAAUGAUUAAAAGAACAAAAUACCAUAGGGAUAACAGGCUUAUUAAUUUAGAUAGUUUAUAUUGAAAAAUUAGU
rnacentral:rRNA from 1 species